AAGCAAAUUUUUACACGCUCGAGUGACAAAUUGUUGCUGCAGUUGUUAGCAUUUCAAAGUCCAAAUUGCAUAGUAUGAGCUUAUCUAACUGGUGCUUCAAGAAUCUCAAAUUGUGUUACAAGCAUGUAUUUCGCCUUUGAUAAAAAAUAUUGUACAUCUUGUAUUGCAGCCUACUAAUGGUGGAGAUGAUUCUGAACAUAAUGUUGAAUUUGCUGGUGGAAAUGUCCAGCUUGUCACAACAAAGGAAAGUUGGGAGCAAAAGAUGGCAGAGGCAAAGAGAGAUGGCAAGAUUAUUCUGUUCCUUCCUAACAACACACAAAUAUUGAUGAGAAUUGUAUAUGAUGAUGUAUCUUGUCUUGAGAAUAUUUAGACCUUGGGUUUACUCCUCAAUGGUCACCAGUUCCAGUUCUCUCAGGAAAACUGAGGUGAGUACCCGACCGUAAACUUUAGGGCUUCGUGGGAUUAGGCGAGGUGCGCGUAAAUUGGUCCGGAUACUCAUGAUUAUUAAAA